rnacentral:rRNA from 1 species
GACGAACGCUGGCGGCGUGCUUAACACAUGCAAGUCGAACGGAAAGGCCCUGCUUUUGUGGGGUGCUCGAGUGGCGAACGGGUGAGUAACACGUGAGUAACCUGCCCUUGACUUUGGGAUAACUUCAGGAAACUGGGGCUAAUACCGGAUAGGAGCUCCUGCUGCAUGGUGGGGGUUGGAAAGUUUCGGCGGUUGGGGAUGGACUCGCGGCUUAUCAGCUUGUUGGUGGGGUAGUGGCUUACCAAGGCUUUGACGGGUAGCCGGCCUGAGAGGGUGACCGGCCACAUUGGGACUGAGAUACGGCCCAGACUCCUACGGGAGGCAGAAGUGGGGAAUAGUGCACAAUGGGCGGAAGCCUGAUGCAGCAACGCCGCGUGCGGGAUGACGGCCUUCGGGUUGUAAACCGAUUUCGCCUGUGACGAAGCGUGAGUGACGGUAAUGGGUAAAGAAGCACCGGCUAACUACGUG